AGCCACAGCCAUAUCACCCUCCAGCCCAAGACUGGUUACUUAGUGAAGGUAAGCAGAGCUGAGCCUGGUCAGUGCCUGUAUGGGAGACCACAUGAGAAAACUCGAUUGCUGUUGGAA
rnacentral:rRNA from 1 species